AACUUUCUGAAUUCGUACGGAGACUUCAUUAGACAGGAAUCCAUCAGGGCUAAUGAAACUUCCAAGAUAAGUGAAGUG
rfam:Schistosoma curassoni strain Dakar, Senegal genome assembly, scaffold: SCTD_contig0000765